UACCACUUUUGUCAGGGAUAUUUUUAGUGAAAAUCAGGGACAGGUCACGGGCUUCCGUGAAUUUUUGUUUAUUGCUGCUUGACCUGUACCUGACUUUUACUAAAAAUAUCUGUGACAAAAACUUAGCCUUACUUAAGGUACAUAUACCAUAUCUCUGUGUGAUACUUUAAAGAAAGAACUUAUAUUUUGUUUCAUAAAAUAAUUUAAUGUUUAAUUUGAAUGGGUAUAUUUUAAAAGCCAGUUGCUGGUGCAAUAAAGUCUAAUUCAAACACUUUAUUUUUUUAAUGUGAAAAACUAAUAUUGUUUCUGCAGUGAAGCAGAUGAUUUUAUGUCAUAGUUUCAGCAUUCCAUGGGAACUUGGUUUUCUGCAAUGCACUUAUAAGGACCAUAGUGCCCUUGGAACAAAUUUGUUGGCAUGGUGGUAGCCUCAGUCACAUAUUGGGCAAACAUCUGAAACAGAAAUUUGUGUAUCAAAGAAACAAUAAUUUUCAGCCAAAUAAAUAUGAAGGACUUAAAUUCACCUCAAGAACACUAAUUUUGUCUUCAGUGAAAUAUUUUUACAAAUCUCCUUCAAAACAAAAUUAGGCACAGCCACAGUUAUGGUUGCCUUGCAAUACUGUGUUUCAUUCCAAAUAAGUGAUUGCAGGGAGUCCUUCCCACUCUUGUUGGGUUUCAGUCAAAGUAUAUGAGUAUACGAAGAGAUGAAGUCACUAUAUGUGACUUACUGUCAGGAGAGGAAAGAAAAUAACCAAGGUAAAAAAAACUUUGUUCAAAUGUACACCUCUUCAGUUAGUGGUUUUUAAUGGUAAUGAAAGAUUCAUUUAGAAGUUUUAAAAAAAGUAAGUAUUUAAUAUAAAUUUUAUGAUUAGUCUUUCUAGAAGAUUUUUUCAAGAUGUAAUUUUCUCCUCGUAGAUCUUCUUAAAAGAACUAAGGCUGUUAGUAAAGUUUUAGUUUAAACAUAAAUAUAUGUAUUCUUGACAAAGGAAUUUUCAGAGCUGCAGCAACAGUAAAGAAUCCUCUAUCUGAGCAAAUAGUGUGGCUCUAAAUGCUUGGCCUUAGAUGUGAGGCCUGAUCCAAAGCCUUUUGAAAUCAAUGAAUGGAAAGACUUUUGUUGACUUCAGUGGGCUUUGGUUCAGAGCCUUAGAACCUGAACCUGCAAACAUGAGUAACUUCACUCACAUGUAUGUAUUCAGUAAAACUAUACAUGUAGGUGUUUGCAGAUCAUACCCUAAAAAUUAUAGUGGAAGACUUUUCUUGAAAUGUUUAGUAUAUAAUGUGAUAUAUCCUGGUCCAGAGCAUUAGGCACACACAUCGCAUUAGUAAUGAUAUCAGUUGCAGGAAUACAAAACAGCUUCCCAGUUUCUUCAGUGAAGCCUUCCCAAGUCAACAAGACCAAAAGUUUUUUUUUUCCCCACUAUAAUUGUGUUUGUGAUGUUUCUGAUUAAAGUAGCUUCUUUUUUUAAUAGCCUCUUGUUGGAGGCAGCCACAUUGCAUGCACAAACAGAAUAGGCAUAUAAAGACAAUUUUGUACCUUUUGAUGCCCUUAGUCCUCUAAUAUAACUCCCGUAUAGAUAUUCUUCCUUGCUAAAUGCUUAGCUUGUUUGUUUUAGAAUCUUGAGGGAGCAGGUCUUCCUAGCUUCAUUCUUGGCAGUUAAUUUUUACCCAUUGAUAGUAGAAAAUGUAAAUGCAAGCUCCAGCAAAGCUGGUGAGAAGGAUGCCUUCCCUUCCAGGCCACUGAAGUAGGGGCUCAAAGCGCAGUAGCUUCCAGGUGAGUUGGCACAAUGCAGCCCAUUGAGAUUCCAUUGUUAUUUAGUACAUUAUCCCCAAGUUAGGCGAUGAGGUUUAUUGAUAAGAGAAUCAUGAUAAAAAGCUUAUGCAGGGCCUUCAUUAUAAUACUGUUUUAGUCUCAUUAUUUUCGAGAUCUUCACCUCAAUUGCCCAUGCCAAUGAUAUUCUUGAAUAGUGAUUUGGGACCUUAAUGUCUCUGAGCAAAGUUGAGCAUGUACUCCAAAGACACAGCUUCCAUUCACAUUAGUAGGAGAUAUAUACUCACAUCCAAGAACACAAUUAGGCUCAACAUUAAUGGUAGCAUUGUGAAUAAAAUAAUCUUCAUCCUUAAAGCAGAUGUGAUUUUUUUUUAAAGGAGAGAGAGUUAAUCAGCAUGAACAAAAUAAGACCUCAAGUCCUUUCUGCUCAGUGCUGACACCACAACAAUUAUGCCAAUUACCUCUUCUGCCUUUGGAUGUAUGUACACAGCUCCCAUUGAUUUUGAAGGGAGGCCUGCCUGCACAUAUAAGUGAUGCUUUAGAUAUAUUUCAGAUACAAAAGGAGAGUCUAAGGUUGUGUACAGGUGUUAACACCAGUUCAACUGCUAGUAGUAAUUUUUGGAGGUUAACAUUUCCUCAUGCAGACAAAGCUUAAAAGGCUACCUUGCUUCAUUCUGUGUUUGGUCCAUGUUUGCCUGCCUCCUUCUUAAGUUGCAUGAUUAAGAGUCAUUCACCUCUAGAGAAUGGCCUGGUGUCCCAAUACAAAGCCUGGGUCAAUAAUAGCCCGGUAGUUCUUUGUAGAUUUUGAAUAUAUGCAAAUAUAAUGUACUUAUUUCCUUAAACUGACUCCAAAUCCAUUUAAAAUUUCUUUGAGUUUCUUCCUCCACUCCUAAAACAUAUUCUUCUACUGGUUACCCACUGAAUGCAUGAGUUUCACCACUCUAUUUACAAAAGCUGCUCUUGAGAUACUUUUAAUACUCCAUUGAGAACAAUAGGGAAUGCUCCAGACAGCUGUGGAGACCACCAGCGCAUUCCUUGCUCUCCCUGAUUCAGUACCUGAGUUCUACACCUGAUGCCCAAGAAAAGGGAUGAGAGGCGAGAUAAACAACCCAUUGUUGGCUCUCCCCAGGAGAGUUAAAAGUCAGUGGAAAUAAAUUAGUUGCCACUGAGCUUUUUGGCCAAGUGGCUCAGGGAUAGCAAGGAAAGAAAUGGCCAUCACCUGAGUUCUCUUCGCCGGAGAAGCAUAUUUGCUACCUGCCUCAAUUUGGCUGGAACUCUCCUAAGUUUUGACAGAGUCCCAGUUAUCUACCUCUUUGUUCUGAGUAUUCAGAACUUCUGUGUCUGCUUACAAGGCUGUACUGGAGGCGUUAGAAGAUGUCUCAUCCUCUUCCUAGCUCUCUGUUGGUUCAUACGCCUCACUGCAGUGGCAGACAGAACCGUCCAUAGGCCCUUGCCAGCUGCAGCAGAUAGCCCAAUUUAGGAGGGAAGAAAGGG